rnacentral:lncRNA from 1 species
CCCUUUGUGUUUUCCUUUUGCUUAACGAUUGCCCCCUGAGCUAGCCUCUGUUGCCCAUGUUCAUCAGUUUCAGAGGGUAGAUUUCUCAGUGUUGCUUUUUCCCCAGCUCUCCACGCCCUGGUGUCUUUCUUUUCUGCUUAAAGGUUCCAACCUGAGCUAGCGUCUGUUGCCCAUGUUCCUCAGUUUCAGAGGGUGGAUUUCUCCGUGCUGCUUUUUACCCGGGUCUCCACGCCCUUGUGUGUUUCUUUUGCUUAACGAUUGCCGCCUGAGCUAGCCUCUGUGGCCCAUUUUCGUCAGCUUCAGAGGGUGGAUUUCUCAGUGUUGCUUUUUCCCCAGGUCUCCACGUCCCUCAGUGUGUGUGUGUGUGUGAGUGUGUGUGUUUUCUUUGCAAGAUUGGCACUUGAGCUAACGUGUGUUGCCCAUCUUUGUCAGUUUCAGAGGCUAGAUUUUUCAGUAUCGCUCUUUCCCAAGGUCUCCACUCCCGUUGCUCUUUUCUUUGUUUCUUUGUUUCUUUGUUCUUUCUUUUUGGCUUAAAUAUUGUCACCUGAGCUAGGCUCUGUUGCCCUGCUUCCUCCGUUUCAGAGGGUACCUUUUUUCAGGGUUGCUUUUUCACCGGGUCUCCUCGCCAUUGUAGUUUUUUAUUUUAUUUAUUUAUUUUUUUGCUUAACGAUUGCCACCUGAGCUAGCCUGUGUUGCCCAUGUUCGUCAGUUUCAGAGGGUAGAUUUCUCAGCGUUGCUUUUUCCCCAGGUCUCUACGCCUGUGUGUGUGUGUGUGUGUGUGUGUGUGUGUGUGUUCUGCUUAAAGAUUGCCACCCGAGCUAGCCCCUGUUGCCCAUCUUCGUCAGUUUCAGAGGGUAGAUUUCUCAGUGUUGAUUUUCCCCCAGUUCUCCACGCCCUCGUGCUUUUUUUUUUUUUUUAAUUUCCUUAAAUGUCGGCACCUCAGCUAGCCUCUUUUUCCCAUCUUCGUCCGUUUCAGCGGGUAGACUCUCCGCCUGCCUUCGACAGACCCUCUGCGCUUGAAAGCUUUCCUCCUCCCGUCAUCACGGUCCUUCUCGGAUGACGUGCCUGGUUUCGGUUUGACCGUCCCCGCCCGCCCUGAUUUUCUAAGUCCUCCCGGGAGCCCCGGGGGCGCUCCGGCCGCUCCGGGAAGCGGCGGCCUCCCGGCCGCACCGGCUCAGCCCGGCCCGGGCCGACCCCUGGCCUCUCUGGGGGAACUCUCCCCGUCCCCUUCCCGGUGAGCGCCCGAGAAACCUUUUCCGGGUCCCCCUCCUGCGGCUGGGGCUGCGCCUUGGCGGCCGGAGCCCGCGGGCGGACGCCCCGGGGCCGAGCUGGGCCGGG